rnacentral:ncRNA from 1 species
ACCCCCGUGAGAAUGCCCUUUAGUUUCUUUUGAAAACAAGGAGCUGGUAUCAGGCACGAUUAUUUCAGCCCAGGACGCCUUGCUUAGCCACACCCUCAAGGGAACCCAGCAGUGAUUAAAAUUAAGCCAUAAGUGUAAACUUGACUUAGAAAAGGCUGAUAGGGUCGGUCAAACUCGUGCCAGCCACCGCGGUUAUACGAGAGACUCAAGCUGUUAGACACCGGCGUAAAGAGUGGUUAAGAGCACAGACAAAUUAAAGUCUAAUACUCCCUCAGCUGUAAAAAGCAAAAGGGGGCUAGAAGCUCAUCAACGAAAGUGACUUUAUUAAUUCUGAACCCACGUAAGCUAAGGCACAAACUGGGAUUAGGUACCCCACUAUGCUUAGCUGUAAACAUUGGUAAUUAAUACUACACCCGCCCGGGUACUACGAGCGUUCGCUUGAAACCCAAAGGACCUGGCGGUGCUUUAAGAUCCACCUAGAGGAGCCUGUCCUAUAACCGAUAACCCUCGUUAAACCUUACCUUUUCUUGUUUUACCUGUCUAUAUACCACCGUCGUCAGCUUAUCCUGUGAAGGCUUAACAAUAAGCGGAAUCGGCAAAACCCAAAACGCCAGGUCGAGGUGUAGCAUAUGAAGAGGAAAGAGAUGGGCUACAUUUUUUAGUUUAGAAAAAACGGAUGACGGCCUGAAAGACCUGUCUGAAGGAGGAUUUAGUAGUAAGAGGAAAAUAGAGUGUUCCUCUGAAAUUGGCUCUAAAGCACGCACACACCGCCCGUCACUCUCCCCGACAAAGAAAUUAAUCCUAAAUAACUCCCAGGAGUAGUACUAGGGGAGGAAAGUCGUAACAUGGUAAGUGUACUGGAAGGUGCACUUGGUCAAC